rnacentral:rRNA from 1 species
UUUCCGGUUGAUCCUGCCAGAGGUUACUGCUAUCGAGGUUCGACUAAGCCAUGCGAGUCGAAUGUAGCAAUACAUGGCGAACUGCUCAGUAACACGUGGACAACCUGCCCUUAGGUUGGGUAUAAACCCGGGAAACUGGGUAUAAUACCCGAUAGGUCUCGAUUGCUGGAAUGCAUCGAGAUUUAAAGCUCCGGCGCCUAAGGAUGGGUCUGCGGCCUAUCAGGUAGUAGUGGGUGUAGCGUACCUACUAGCCUACGACGGGUACGGGUUGUGAGAGCAAGAGCCCGGAGAUGGAUUCUGAGACACGAAUCCAGGCCCUACGGGGUGCAGCAGGCGCGAAAACUUUACAAUGCUGGCAACAGCGAUAAGGGAACCUCGAGUGCCAGGUUACAAAUCUGGCUGUCGAGAUGCCUAAAAAGCAUUUCAUAGCAAGGGCCGGGCAAGACCGGUGCCAGCCGCCGCGGUAACACCGGCGGCUCGAGUGGUAACCGUUAUUAUUGGGUCUAAAGGGUCUGUAGCCGGCCGGAUAAGUCUCUUGAGAAAUCUGGCAGCUUAACUGUCAGGCUUUCAGGAGAUACUGUCUGGCUCGAGGCCGGGAGAGGUGAGAGGUACUUCAGGGGUAGGGGUGAAAUCUUGUAAUCCUUGAGGGACCACCAGUGGCGAAGGCGUCUCACCAGAACGGACCUGACGGCAAGGGACGAAAGCUAGGGGCACGAACCGGAUUAGAUACCCGGGUAGUCCUAGCCGUAAACGAUGCUCGCUAGGUGUCAGUCACGGUGCGACCGUGAUUGGUGCCGUAGGGAAGCCGUGAAGCGAGCCACCUGGGAAGUAUGGCCGCAAGGCUGAAACUUAAAGGAAUUGGCGGGGGAGCACUACAACGGGUGGAGCCUGCGGUUUAAUUGGAUUCAACGCCGGAAAU